AUUGAACGCUGGCGGUAUGCUUAACACAUGCAAGUCGAACGAUGAGAAAGAGCUUGCUCUUUCGAUUAGUGGCGGACGGGUGCGUAACGCGUAGGAAUCUACCUAUUAGUGGGGGACAACUUAGGGAAACUUAAGCUAAUACCGCAUACGCCCUACGGGGGAAAGAAGGGGAUCGCAAGACCUUUUGCUAAUAGAUGAGCUGUCGUAGGAUUAGCUAGUUGGUGGGGUAAAAGCUCACCAAGGCGACGAUCGUUAACUGGUUUGAGAGAAUUAUCAGUCACACUGGAACUGAGACACGGUCCAGACUCCUACGGGAGGCAGCAGUGGGAAAUAUUGGACAAUGGGCGAAAGCCUGAUCCAGCAAUACCGCGUGUGUGAAGAAGGCCUUAGGGUUGUAAAGCACUUUCAAUUGGAAGGAAAACCUCGAAGCUAAUACCUUCGAGUUUGACAUUACCUUUAGAAGAAGCACCGGCUAACUCCGUGCCAGCCGCCGCAGUAAAAC
rnacentral:rRNA from 1 species